AGUAAUACAUCGGAACGUGUCUUCUAGUGGGGGAUAACUGCCCGAAAGGGCAGCUAAUACCGCAUGAGACCUGAGGGUGAAAGCGGGGGAUCGCAAGACCUCGCGCUGGAAGAGCGGCCGAUGUCCGAUUAGCUAGUUGGUGAGGUAAAGGCUCACCAAGGCGACGAUCGAUAGCUGGUCUGAGAGGACGACCAGCCACACUGGGACUGAGACACGGCCCAG
rnacentral:rRNA from 1 species